ACGAGGGGUUUUGGAGAAGAUUAAAAUAAAAGUUGCAACACUGAUUUGUGGCGCUUGAUGGGUUAAAAUUAAAAUGACGGUUGUUUACGGUGGUCUUCAAGGUGCAUAUGGUGUAGAUUACUGGGGCAACGGAAGAUAACCUGUCAGUUGUUAGCUGGUAACAAACCCCAUCACCCUUUGCCAAGAGUCCAUAUGGAUAGGAUAGUAGGCGUUAAUUGCUCUCCAGGGGACAACGGAUUGCUCAAACUUCAUUAACUGUCUACUUCUUCCAGCAAUGAAAGGGUGUAGACAGGAGUGGGUCAAAACACGAGAAACCCUGUGUUUAUUCAUCAAUAUCCGAACGAUAUUAUUCACAGAAUAAUUGGACUACGUUACCCAUCAUUCUCGGAUUGUCGUAAUAAUUACAAAUAUUUAUUUUAAUUGUUGCAUAAAAAUAUGAGAUUACCCUAAAAGGAUUAUUUGGAUCACUUCCUUUUCUGACAAGGACCGAGGAUCGUGGUGUUUCUAUAUGUCACCUAGUCUGCUAAACCCUUGUUCUGAUUUAACCCCUUAAUGACAAUGGGUGGUCCCCAAACCCAUUGAAAACAAUGCAUUUUUGCUUUGUCAUUAAGGGGUUAAAGCCCUGUCGCGGUGCUUGAACGCCGCUGGUAAAAGUUUUAGAGAUACCGUUACAGAUUAUGUUACAUCUAAAAAAAAUAAA